CGCCUCGGCCUCCCAAAGUGCUGGGAUUACAGGCUUGAGCCACCGCGCCCGGCCUCCUAGCAUAGUGAUUUCUAAGGUCUUUUUAUUAUAUUAGAUUUGAAGAUCUUGAAAAAAUACAAACUUCAAAUAAAUGAAUAUUUGUGAGGAGAGGAAGACCUAUAUUCUUCAUCUGGAAGGCUUCAAAACUGAAAUGAUGAAUGCAAUGUUUAAUACAAAACUGAACCCUGGGCACUACAAACUUAGAGGACAGAAAGAUGAAGAGGAGAGAAGAGAAUAAAGACAAGAGUGGCUGACCAGAAAAAUACAGAAAUCCUGGAGGCCGAAUGAAGAAAGUAUUCUCAGAAGGGAAUGAUUGGCUAUAGGAAACAUUGCUGAAAAAAAUCGAGUGAGCUGACAUUGAGGUAUUUGGUAAAAUGGAGGUUUGUGGUAACCUUGAAAGGUGGUUUCAGAGUCACGGAGAAGGCAAAGCCCAACAGGAGUGGGUUGAAGAGAGAAUGGGAGGCAAGGAAGUAAAAACAAUGAACAAUUGGUAUCUUUCCAGGUUUUGUUACAGAAAGCAACAAAGGAACAGGUCUAUAGUUAGAAUGGUCCAUGAAGACAAGUGACUGUUUUUGCUUUUUAAAGAUGAGAGCUCUUAUGGAAUAACCUACAUGAAAGUUCAACACAGAAAAACUUUUUGGCCCAUCAUUUAACCACAAAGCACGCAGUCACAAAUUAUUAUAUGGCUCACACUUCAGAACUUUUCACUAAAUAUUCUUUAAAAGUCUAAAUCAGAUGAGUAGUCAUUAAUUUCUUUUCCUUUUUUUCCAUAACUUUAAAGAAAAAAAUUGGAAAGAGAAAACGUAGAUUUAUCACUGACUUUCAGCUUCAAAAUAUUUGUCAGUAGUUUUUUUUUUAGACUGAGAAUUUCUCAAGCUUAGGAAAAUGAUCUCAUACAGAAUCGCAUACCAAUGAAAUUUAAAAAUAUGAACCUAAUCUUAUUCCUUUUAUUUCUUUAUUAAGUAGACGUUUUUCACUCAAAAAGAGACAUUUAUAGCAAGUUUCCUCUCAAUAGAAAUGUCAAACCAAAUUGGCACCUAAGGAAAGUUUCCUAAAAACAGAUUUUGCCACAAAAAAAAAA